rnacentral:rRNA from 1 species
UGGCCUACGGGGGGCAGCAGUGGGGAAUAUUGCACAAUGGGGGAAACCCUGAUGCAGCGACGCCGCGUGAGUGAAGAAGUAUUUCGGUACGUAAAGCUCUAUCAGCAGGGAAGAAAAUGACGGUACCUGACCAAGAAGCCCGGGCUAACUACGUGCCAGCAGCCGCGGUAAUACGUAGGGGGCAAGCGUUAUCCGGAUUUACUGGGUGUAAAGGGAGCGUAGACGGCAGCGCAAGUCUGGAGUGAAAUGCCGGGGCCCAACCCCGGAACUGCUUUGUAAACUGUGCAGCUG